rnacentral:rRNA from 1 species
CCUACGGGAGGCAGCAGUGGGGAAUAUUGGGCAAUGGGCGCAAGCCUGACCCAGCAACGCCGCGUGAAGGAAGAAGGCUUUCGGGUUGUAAACUUCUUUUCUGGGGGACGAACAAAUGACGGUACCCCAGGAAUAAGCCACGGCUAACUACGUGCCAGCAGCCGCGGUAAUACGUAGGGGGCAAGUGUUAUCCGGAUUUAUUGGGUGUAAAGGGCGUGUAGGCGGGAUUGCAAGUCAGAUGUGAAAACUCAGGGCUCAACCCUGAGACUGCAUUUGAAAAUGUGUUUCUUGAGUGCGGGAGAGGCGAUCGGAAUUCCGUGUGUAGCGGUGAAAUGCGUAGAUAUACGGAGGAACACCAGUGGCGAAGGCGGAUUGCUGGACAGUAACUGACGCUGAGGCGCGAAAGCGUGGGGAGCAAACAGGAUUAGAUACCCGAGUAGUC